rnacentral:rRNA from 1 species
UACGGAAGGCAGCAGUGGGGAAUAUUGGACAAUGGGCGGAAGCCUGAUCCAGCCAUGCCGCGUGUGUGAAGAAGGCCUUUUGGUUGUAAAGCACUUUAAGCGAGGAGGAGGCUACUAGUACUAAUACUACUGGAUAGUGGACGUUACUCGCAGAAUAAGCACCGGCUAACUCUGUGCCAGCAGCCGCGGUAAUACAGAGGGUGCGAGCGUUAAUCGGAUUUUACUGGGCGUAAAGCGUGCGUAGGCGGCUGAUUAAGUCGGAUGUGAAAUCCCUGAGCUUAACUUAGGAAUUGCAUUCGAUACUGGUCAGCUAGAGUAUGGGAGAGGAUGGUAGAAUUCCAGGUGUAGCGGUGAAAUGCGUAGAGAUCUGGAGGAAUACCGAUGGCGAAGGCAGCCAUCUGGCCUAAUCUGACGCUGAGUCAAAGCAAUGGGGAGCAAACAGGGAUUAGGAAUAACC